CACUUUGGCAGCCUGGGUUCAGUAUCCAGGCGUGGACAUAUACCACUCAUUAGCAGCCAUGCUGUGGCGGUGACCCACAUAUAAAAUAGAGGAAGAUUGGCACAGAUGUUGGCUCAGGGCAAAUCUUCAUCAGCAAAAAAAGAAAAUCAUGCCAUUUUAUCAUGAUUUCUCUGUGUGAGAUUUGCUUUCACUUUUUUUCCUGUUUGAAACUCCUUCAAUUUAAGAAUUUGUUUUCCUUCAACCCUAGAAAAUUCCUAACCAUGACUAAUUAAAUAUUGCCUGCUAAACAUAUUUUCGCUCUCAUUCUGGCUUCUAUAUACCCUUAAGUAAUAUUUUAAUCUUUCCCAUCACUUUCUCUGCCAAUGGUGCACCUGAGUGAUUUCCUCAGAAUUAUUGUCCAGUUCAUGAAUUCUUUUCUCAGCUGUGUCCAGUUUACUGUUGAAUUUACAUUUGCAAUAUUUUUUCUAUACAGACUUUUUCAUAUUUUCUAAUUCUUUUUAUACAUUUUUCGUUCCUAACGACUUCUGUUCUUUAUGUCUUUGAUAGUUUUUAUCUGUUCUUUAUCUCUUUGGAUAGUUUAAAUAAACUUCUUGUAAACUUCCUUUGAGACUAUUUUGUUGUUUCUAGUUCUAAGCAUCUAAAUUCUCCCACUUACUGGAUCUGUGACGCUCUGCCACAACAGUUCAUUCUGUGUGAUUGGAACACUUUCACUAUGAGCUCAUCUUCAUUCUGUCAUCCUGUAUUCCUCUGAGGGGAAGUCAAAUAUGUUCAGGACUGUGGAAAUAUCUGAUACAGCAGUUCCUUGCUCAACACUGCAAGUCCCAGCUAUUUCACUGGCUCUUAAUUUCUCGACCCCUCACAUUCAUCUGACAUAAUUUUGAAGUUUUCAUUUUUCAAGGAUAUUUUUCUCCCAUGGACAAGCUAAUGGAAGGGCAUGUUUCAAAGCACAAAGUUUGGAAGAGGCAUUGGAAGCUGACUCACUUGUGUCUCACGUGGAUUAUUUGCAUGUGUAAGGAGCUCCAGCAUAGUCACACCAUUUCAUAAUCCCUCUGCAUCUCAUGAAAUCUGACUAUGAACAUCAGUGAGCCUACAGAGGGUGCAGAUCACUACUCCACCUGUACAUGACACUGGGCAACAGGUAAAUUCUGUCUUCAUCGCGAAGCAGGACUGGAUGGCUGCUUUCCACUAAAUGGACACAUCCGUACUGGAAGGGAGGAUUUAUUGAAGUCGUUUUAUCACUCUGGACAUCAUUUUUCUUUACUAUAAAAUGGGGAUACAAAUAUCUGUCUUGUCUAUUCCACAGAAUUUUCUAAGGAUAAAAUGAUGUUAGGUAUUCAAAAUUGCUCCGUGACAUUUCCAGGGAUGGGAAGGAUAUGGGGUUAAGCUCCUCGGUCCUGAGGAGCAAAAACUAUUCUGUGUCUUUUCCAGGCAUGUUUUAUCCAUCUUCCGCUCAGUUUUCUCAUGGAAUGUUUGGAGACUUUUUGAGUUGAGGGUUAAAAGAAGCCUUGCAUUUUCUACUCCCAUCAAUGCUUAUCACCAGAAAUUUAUUUUAAAUGCUCAGCAGACUCCUCCUGUGCCUGAAAAGAUGCAUACUUAAAUCUCUACAUGGUGAUAUUAGAAAAAAUUUUUUGUGAUUUUAAAAUUAGUUCAACUUAAUUUUAGCUCCAGUCAUUAUCACAAUGUUAAAUCUAUUUGGACACUUGAUAAACUAAUACAGAAUAAAGUAGGCAAGGUUUUUUUUGUUUUUUUCUUU
rnacentral:lncRNA from 1 species